rnacentral:rRNA from 1 species
GACGAACGCUGGCGGCGUGCCUAACACAUGCAAGUCGAGCGAAGUAUAUUUAAGUGAAGUUUUCGGACGGAACUUAAAUAUAUCUUAGCGGCGGACGGGUGAGUAACGCGUGAGCAACCUGCCUUUCACAAAGGGAUAGCCUCGGGAAACUGGGAUUAAUACCAUAUGAAACUUAACUUUCGCAUGAAAGAUAAGUUAAAGCGAAUAAGCGGUGAAAGAUGGGCUCGCGUCCUAUUAGCUAGUUGGUGAGGUAACGGCUCACCAAGGCGACGAUAGGUAGCCGGCCUGAGAGGGUGAACGGCCACACUGGAACUGAGACACGGUCCAGACUCCUACGGGAGGCAGCAGUGGGGGAUAUUGCACAAUGGAGGAAACUCUGAUGCAGCGACGCCGCGUGAGUGAAGAAGGCCUUCGGGUCGUAAAGCUCUGUCCUAGGGGAAGAUAAUGACGGUACCCUAGGAGGAAGCCCCGGCUAACUACGUGCCAGCAGCCGCGGUAAUACGUAGGGGGCGAGCGUUGUCCGGAAUUACUGGGCGUAAAGAGUUCGUAGGCGGUCUGAUAAGUCAGAUGUGAAAGGCGUAGGCUUAACCUAUGUAAGCAUAUGAAACUGUCAGACUUGAGGUAAGGAGAGGAAAGUGGAAUUCCUAGUGUAGCGGUGAAAUGCGUAGAUAUUAGGAGGAAUACCAGUGGCGAAGGCGACUUUCUGGACUUAAACUGACGCUGAGGAACGAAAGCGUGGGGAGCAAACAGGAUUAGAUACCCUGGUAGUCCACGCCGUAAACGAUGAGUGCUAGGUGUCGGGUAGAAAUAUUCGGUGCCGCAGCUAACGCAAUAAGCACUCCGCCUGGGGAGUACGUACGCAAGUAUGAAACUCAAAGGAAUUGACGGGGACCCGCACAAGCAGCGGAGCAUGUGGUUUAAUUCGAAGCAACGCGAAGAACCUUACCAGGGCUUGACAUCCACAGAAGGCAGUAGAGAUACUGCUGUGCCCCGCAAGGGGAGCUGUGAGACAGGUGGUGCAUGGUUGUCGUCAGCUCGUGUCGUGAGAUGUUGGGUUAAGUCCCGCAACGAGCGCAACCCUUAUUCCUAGUUGCUAACAUUUAGGGUGAGCACUCUAGGGAGACUGCCGGGGAGAACUCGGAGGAAGGUGGGGAUGACGUCAAAUCAUCAUGCCCCUUAUGUCCUGGGCUACACACGUGCUACAAUGGCCGGUACAAAGGGCAGCCAAGGAGUAAUCCGGAGCAAAUCCCGGAAAGCCGGUCUCAGUUCGGAUUGUGGGCUGCAACCCGCCCACAUGAAGUCGGAGUUGCUAGUAAUCGUGGAUCAGCCAUGCCGCGGUGAAUGCGUUCCCGGGCCUUGUACACACCGCCCGUCACACCAUGGGAGUUGGGAGCACCCGAAGUCAGUGAGCCAACCUGGAGGGGGCAGCUGCCGAAGGUGAAACCAAUGACUGGGGUG